UUUUUUUUUUGGUGUUUAAAGCAUAGUCUUGGUUAAAGCUACUUGUUUCUAGUCUUGUAUAUCUGACUUAAAUAUAACCAUGUAGACUCAUAAAUUCUAAUUUUCUGAACCUUUAUGAUUUUUUAUUAUGUGGUCUGUUAAAUAUGCUAAAAAUUACUCUUACUUGUAACAGAAUAAUUAGACGCAUCAUGGAGGAGAGAAAUUGAGAUUAAUAUUUACUAUUUGGCUAGAAAAUACAUCAUAUAGUGUAUAAAUAAAUAUAUAACAUUCUUACGCACAGAUAGUAUGACAUUUCUCAUCAGAUUAAAUCAAAAUUGUAAAACUUGACAUGUUAAACAGAAUAGUAGUUUGUUUCUUCCAAUUGUAUCAUAUACAGAUACCAAAAAGAAUUUUUUUAAGUUUCAGAUUAAUAGGAAUAGAGUGCUUAUUUCAAAUUUUUUUUUUGGUAAAUAUAUAAAUGCUUCUGUUCCUAAUUUAUAUAUUGAUUGGCAAUCCUUUCUGGUUUUUUUAGAAGUAUUUUAUUAUGGUGCUUUUCUUUUUUUUAAUUAAAUCUCAUAUUCCAGGAACUUUGCUUGUAAAGUUUAGAAAGGACUUUUGAUUAAUAAUAUUUUUUUUGCUCCUGAAAGUAAUCUAGUCCUAUUAUUAGCAGAAUUAUCAUUAUUAUUAACAGAAUCUAUCAGUUUAGGUGACUAUCGACAGAAUUAUUUAAGUUGUCAAAACAUGAAUAUAUAACCUUUACAUUGAAAGAUAAUUUAUAGGUAUAAUAAAAGUUUGAAUCAGUCAGGUAAUAAAUUUUCAAAAAAAAUGGAACCUUUCUGUUCUUUGUAUACAUUUUUUUUUCCAAAAAAAAUUAUUUGUUCCGGUAUGGUGCUUUGCACAAAGUGAUUUCUGAAAAAAAGUGACUCCCUUUCAGAUAAUGAUUUCAUAUGAUCAUUGUUUCAUGUUAUUUGCCACACAGAACCUUAUUUGAGGUUGAAACUGGAAUCUGUGUUUCUCAUAUUAAUUUCUCUUUUAGGAGCACUAGAAAUGUGAAAUGCAACAUGAGCUACUUUAGUGCUGUUUGUUUGAAAUUUGUGUUCUGUGUAUUAUGAUUUAUUGACUUCUUGAUGCAUGUGAAUUGAGUGCAUUUUGUUGCCACUGUAUGUUAAAUGGUGACCAAUGUUUUUACAAAGGAAUUGAACAAAAAGAAAUCUUUUAAGAAGUUUGAAAUGUGGUUUUGACUUUGAAAUUUUAUUUUCUUACUGAGGACCUUGGUUACUCUUACUAAAGGAAAUAGGAUUAAUAAUUGCGGAUUUGUUACAAGGUAGUAGCAAAGUCACUGAGAGUGUAAAUGGAACUCUGCUCUCUCUCUGAAAUCCACACAUGAUACAGAACAUGACAGAGUGUUUAAGAAGAAUGUUCCCACAUAAAGAUCUCACAUAAAGAGAUAGGCAUAAAUCACCGUAAUGGUGCUUACAGCAGAGAUAUCCAAGCUAUUUAUAUAAUAAUGCCUCAUUUACUUUUUUUUCUAUAGAAGAUAAAUUUGGAAGGUAAUGGAAGUUUAUCUUUUAUACCAAAAGUCUGCAUAAAGUAAAUCUUCCUACUUUUAGAAUUAUAUAUUUUCUUACCACCUUAGUAUAUUAAAUGCAGUAUAACUUUUUUCUUAGUGGCUAAGUAUCUUUUUGUGGACUUUAUUAUUGUGCUGUACACAGUACCUUGAGAAUCUAGUUUUUAUAGUUUUUUAUUUUCCUCCCCUUUUUUGCUGUUCUCAUUUUGGUAACUGUUUUAUCUCUUUAAUAUGAUUAUUUCUCAAUUAUAUUGACUUAAGAACUAGAUAGCUUAUCUUACCAUAAACUUUUAUGUAACUAUUAGAAAACAGGCUAUUGAGGCUGAGUGAGUUGAUGAUGGUCAUGAUGAGAGUAAGAAUAGUAAUAUUAGCAUGAGCUCCCUUUUAUUAAAUACGUACUUAAUGCUAUACACUGUAGUAUUUUACACACAUUAUCAAAUGUAAUCACCUUAAUAGCAGCAGUAAGUUGGUGCUGUUAUCAUCCCUAUUUUGUACCAGGUAAAUUGAGGCAUGGAGAGGUGAGUUUGUCCACAAUGUCACUACCAAGUAGACUGGCUCUGGCAUGUCUGUGUAAAGAACACAUGUCUGUGUUCUUAAAUCAUGCAGUGGGGACACCAGUUAUAUGGACUUUGUCACUUUUUUCCCUGUUUAGGUUCCUUUUUACCUCCACAUUUGUAGAGUAAUUUUCUCAUCUCUAACCUAAGGAAAUUGUUCUUGUAAUUCAAGAUCCAUGUAACAAGUUUGUGUGUGUGUGUGUGUGUGUGUUGAUUUAUGCUUCUUAUUUGAAAGGCAGAGUGGCAAAGAGAGAGGAAGAAACAGAGAGAGAGAUCUUCCAUCCACUGGUUCACUCCCCAAAUGGUUGGAUGGAGUUCCAAGCCAAAGCCAGGAGCCUGGAACUCCAUCUUGGUCUCGCACGUGAUUGGCAGGGUGGGACCCAGCCACAUGGGCCAUCUUCCAUGGCUUUCCCAUGUGCAUUAAUCAUGCACUGAAUCAUAAGUAGAGCAACUGAGACUCAAACUGGCAUUCUGAUAUGGGAUGCUGGCCUCGCAGGCCGUGGCUUAACCUGCUGCACCACACCACCAACCCCAAGCUCAGUGUUUUUGAUUGCAUAUUACGUGCUAGGAACUAAUACCCCCACCCUCAUGAAGCACAUUGUGUGGCGGGGAGUGUUGGGGGGCCAUUAGGGAGUGUCAGUGAGAGAAGAGAACACAGAAAAAGAAAAUGGCAUUGAAUUAUUUUUUAUGACUGAUCGUGACAUGUUCUAUUGAAGUAAAUGGAACAAGAUAAAGGGCAUAGAAAGUACCAGAGGUAGUAAGUGGAGUGGUCAGAGAAGACCUGGAAAGAAGUGAGCGUUAAAAAUAUAGAUUCCUGUGAAGAGAAGGUGUGCUAAGUUAUGGAAAAUUGAUGUUAAGGACAUCUCAGACAUGAAAUGUAUUUCACUUUGAAAUGAAUUAUAAAACAUUUUCUUGUUUGUUUUGUAUUGCUAAUGUCAGGAUUAAAUGUUGAUCAACAUGUACUCUUGUACAUUUACUAAUAGCAAUAGAAGGAUAUGGCCCAGAAACAUGAGGAAGCAAUCCAGGAGCUCAAAAAAGCUGGGGAAAAUCCAUCAGCAAAUAAUUCAGGGUUUUCUGUGUACUCAUAAUGAAAUAUUACUAACAGAUCACUCAUUUUUUACCAAAACAGUAAGUUGUAGUGAACACUGAAAUUAGUUUUUUCUUUGUUCAACUUUUAGAAUUGGGGUAAUAAAUAGGUUUGAAGUUUUUGGACUUUUGUGGUCUAUUGAUACUGGCAACCAUGAAACAUCUUAUUUUGUAUUGGUGUUCAUAUGGCAUAUUAUAUCUAAUGUGAAUGACAUGAAUGAAAUUGAACAAAUUUUUUUAUUGGCGUAAAGAUUAAAAAGCUAGGGUAAGUAUUGAGAGAUGGUAUUUUUUCUCCACAACUCCAAGUCAAACUUUUUGUUUAAAUGAAUGAAAUGUGGGAAUGAUGAUUGAAGAGUUAACAGAAGUACUUUUGGGGCAAGCUGGGGAAUCUUCAAAAACUGUAGGAUAAAGCAAUUUUCUGUAAGAAUUGUGAAAUUUAGAAAAGAUGGUGUUUGCUAAUAUGGAAGUUGAUAUAUUUGUAUUAUACUUUACCAUAAGAGGUAGACAUAAAUGGGUUUUAAAAGAGGUAAUUAAGUCAAAGAAAACUAACAUACUUUAAAGUUUUUUCUUCUUGCCUGCCAAUACCCCCUCCCCUUCCCCCUUUCUUCCUCUGCUGCCUGUUGAUUCUUCUGUCUCUUGCCCUUUUGUGUGACUUUCUUAUUUUUCUUCUUUAUCUCAACCUCAACCUCAGGCUGAAGAAUGUUUUCAGAAUGUAUUUUAUGACCCAUGCUGUUAUUUUAAAAGCAUGUAUGUCAGACAUUUUUUCUUUCCCACCUCCAUUGGGGAGGAGAGCAAAUCUAAAUUUAAUUCAUUCUAUUAUUGUUAACACCUCUAAUCUUUCAUCUAUACCUCCAUACCCUCUCAGGUGAAAAGCCCACUCUUCAUCAGGGGGAAAAGAUUUGACUGUGGGCUGUGUGUCAGCUCCAUAAAAGAUAAGAUCUCACCUGUCUUGCUGCUUCCUUCUCUACCCUUAAUGCUCUGUGUAGUACCUGGCACGUGGUACGUGAUCAGUGGUUAUUUGAUGAGUGAGCACUACUACUGACAUCACCAGGAUUUUCUCUCAGGUGGAAAACCUUUCUUCUGCCAAGGAGCAUUUGAUAUUUACAUCAUUAUUCAAAGGAGGGAGAGGGGGAAGGAGGGAGAGAGAGCUAGAGAGGUCUUCCAUCUGCUGUUUCACUCCCCAAAUGGCCACAACUGCGAUCAUGGGCCAAGCUGAAGCCAGGAGCCAGGAGCUUCAUCUGGGUCUCAUGUAGGUGCAGGGACUCAAGGACUUGGGCCAUCUUCCACUGCUUUCCCAGGUGCAUUAGCAGGGACCUUGACUGGAAGUGGAACAGCUGGAACUCAAACUGGCGCCCAUAUGGGAUGCCAGCAUUGCAGGCAGUGGCUUUAUCCAUUAUGCCGCAACGCCAGCCCUGACAAUAAACAAAUUUUAUGUUAACAUAAAUGUACAUAUUUUAUGAGAAUUAUUUUUUAAUAAAAUCUUACAAUAGUGCCA